rnacentral:rRNA from 1 species
UGUGAUGGCGUACCUUUUGUAUAAUGGGUCAGCGACUUACUUUCAUUGGCGAGCUUAACCGAAUAGGGGAGGCGUAGGGAAACCGAGUCUGAAUAGGGCGACCUAGUCGAUGGAAGUAGACCCGAAGCCGGGCGAUCUAUCCAUGUCCAGGGUGAAGGUGCAGUAACAUGCACUGGAGGCCCGAACCCACUUAUGUUGCAAAAUGAGGGGAUGAGGUGUGGAUUGGAGUGAAAGGCUAAUCAAGCCCGGAGAUAGCUGGUUCUCCUCGAAAUCUAUUUAGGUAGAGCGU